rnacentral:lncRNA from 1 species
CCUUGAGGAUGACGCCGGCCUACAGCUCUGAUGACAGCUCUGGUGUUUGCCUCCCAUCUCACUGCUGCGAGGCCUCCAAAACGUACUUUCCCCUCUGAGCCUCAGUCUCCUCAAGUGUCAAAUGGAAACACUGAUGUCUCCUGCCAGAGCUGUGGCGAGAAUAAGAUACACCUGAGGUCCCCACCACCAUGGCUGGCACUUAGAAA